rnacentral:rRNA from 1 species
GACUAACGCUGGCGGCGUGCCUAACACAUGCAAGUCGAACGAGUUGUUUAAGGUAGCAAUAUUUUGAGCAACAAGUGGCGAACGGGUGAGUAACACGUAGAUAAUCUGCCUUUCAGACGGGGAUAACUCAGGGAAACUUGUGCUAAUACCCGAUGAGACUACGAGGGGGGACCUUCGCAGCCAAAGGUGGGCGAAAGCUCACGCUGGAAGAUGAGUCUGCGUCCUAUCAGCUAGUUGGUGGGGUAAAAGCCUACCAAGGCGAAGACGGGUAGCCGGCCUGAGAGGGUGAACGGCCACACUGGGACUGAGACACGGCCCAGACUCCUACGGGAGGCAGCAGUGAGGAAUUUUCCGCAAUGGGCGCAAGCCUGACGGAGCGACGCCGCGUGAGGGAUGACGGCCUUCGGGUUGUAAACCUCUUUUAUUAAGGAAAAAGGCAAUCGUGCUAACACCACGGUUGUUUGAUGGUACUUAUUGAAUAAGCCCCGGCUAACUACGUG